AAAGAAAACUAAAAGAAGGGUUGAGUGGUUGAGUUAAUAGUUUAGUUAGCCAAUCUGUUCAAACAUUACUACUCUCUCUCUCUCGAUCACCAUUAUUAACAGAAGGAAGAAGUAAGGGAUAUAUUUAAGAGAUUUGUACUGAAUCUUUUUUACUAUUUAUAACUUUGUUUUAACCCUUAAUAUUCCUUAAGUUACAUAUCUGCAAAAUGAUGGAAUGACUCCAAUACAGAGGCCAAAAUCUACUGUUGGAAUUCCUAAAUUUGGUCUGUAAGAUUAUGUAGCUGACAGAGAAGGCAGAAUUCUGGAGAGAUUAGGAGAAUAUUUGUAUCUUAUAAUCAGAGAUCUGCAGAGGAUGGCUGCUGGGUUUAGGUUUUUUGGCCAGUGUUUCAGGACUUUUGCAUCGUAUCACCAGCCUCCCUAGGCCUGGACCUGCAACCAGCUUUCUUUGCCAUUUCUUCUCUACAAGCAUAUGCAGUUACAGAGAAGAGUUGGAGAAAGACAAGAGCCAUACUUGUGUAGAAACUGGGGUGUGCAUGAGUGAGGGGUGCGGGUUGCUCCCAAACACAAAGUACUGCAUGUUCUCCUCAGCAAGAUCUCUAAGUCUGUCAAGUUCUGGCAGUAUGACCAUUGCAAGAUCUGGUCGAUCCUUCCGUCUGAGCUCUGCACACUUCAGUGCCAACUUGGCUAACCUUAAUGCUUCCUCAACUGGCCAAUCUGGUACUGAUUGGUCCAACAUCUCUGUGAACGUUCCUCUCUCGAUUGCACGCUCCAUAUAGUGUGCCAACCCCAUGGGAGAUUUGCUAGUGAUAAUUUGCAACAAUAUGAUUCCAAGAGAGUAUAUAUCAGACUUUACACCGAGCAUGCCAGUUUGCUGAUACUCCGGGUCGAUAUAGCAGAAUGUGCCAGCAGUGGCUGUCAUGCAAUACUGGGUGGUAUGGUCUGCUGCAGUUGGGGGAACCAACCGGGCAAGUCCAACAUCGCUGAUCUUGCUGACGUAAUUCCUGUCAAGGAGGAUGUUGGCAGGCUUAAGGUCUCUGUGAACCAGUGGCUCUGGUUUAGUCUGGUGUAGAAAGAGGAGGCCUGUGCCAAUCUCUGCAGCAAUCCGGAACCUAUGCUGCCAAGGAAUGGGUGGUGUAUUCCCUCGCCUGAAUAAGCAAUCUUCCAAGCUUCCAUUUGCCAUGUACUCAUACACAAGGCAGCCAUGUUCUGGGCAAGCGCCCAGCAGUAGAACCAUAUUUGGAUGUCGGAUGCAGCAUAAUAUUUCAACCUGUGUAUGGGAGAUGAUACAAUAAAAAUGUUACACAUAUACACCUAUAUGACUCGAUGUGCUAAUUGCUGCAUUUUGCAUAGAUAGUGCUUGCUCUGAAUCAUCUGGACGCAGAACCUUAAUGGCAACGGGCGUAUGAUCCAGAUAACCUCUGUAAACAGGUCCAUAACCACCUUCUCCAAUUUUUCUGUCCUGUGC